ACUCAAAGGAAUUGACGGGGGCCCGCACAAGCGGUGGAACAUGUGGUUUAAUUCGAAGCUACGCGAAAAACCUCACCAGGGCUUGACAUAUAGGAAGUAGUGAAAUGAAAGUGGAACGACCUGUCAAGUCAGGAGCCUAUACAGGUGCUGCAUGGCUGUCGUCAGCUCGUGUCGUGAGAUGUUGGGUUAAGUCCCGCAACGAGCGCAACCAUUAUCCUUUGUUGCCACUUUCGUCUAGCUUGCUAGAUGAGAAGCACUCUAAGGAGACUGCCUGGGAUAACCAGGAGGAAGGUGGAGAUGACGUCAAGUCAGUACGGCCUUUAUGCCCUGGGCGACACACGUGUUACAAUGGGUAAAACAAAGGGUUGCCAACCCGCGAGGGGGAGCUAAUCUCAAAAAUUUAUCCUCAGUUCAGAUCGGAGUCUGCAAUUCGACUCCGUGAAGCCGGAAUCGCUAGUAAUGGCAGAUCAGCACGCUGCCGUGAAUACGUUCCCGGGCCUUGUACACACCGCCCGU
rnacentral:rRNA from 1 species